rnacentral:rRNA from 1 species
AUUGAACGCUGGCGGCAUGCCUAACACAUGCAAGUCGAGCGGAGCGUCGGACGGGUGAGUAAUGCCUGGGAAUCUGCCUGGUGGUGGUGGAUACCGUCCGGAAACGGGCGCCAAUACCGCAUAAUACCAGAUGAGCCUCGGUUGUAUUUGCUAGUUGGUGGGGUAAUGGCCUACCAAGGCGACGAUCCGUAACUGGUCUGAGAGGAUGAUCCGUCACACUGGAACUGAGACACGGUCCAGACUCCUACGGGAGGCAGCAGUGGGGAAUAGUCGACAAUGGGCGAAAGCCUGAUCCAGCAAUGCCGCGUGAGUGAAGAAGGUCUUCGGAUUGUAAAGCACUUUAAGUUGGGAGGCGUUACCAACAGAGUAAGCACCGGCUAACUUCGUGCCAGCAGCCGCGGUAAUUC